rnacentral:rRNA from 1 species
GCAGUCGCCGCGGGAAUACGUAGGUGGCAAGCGUUGUCCGGAAUUAUUGGGCGUAAAGGGCUCGCAGGCGGUUUCUUAAGUCUGAUGUGAAAGCCCCCGGCUCAACCGGGGAGGGUCAUUGGAAACUGGGAAACUUGAGUGCAGAAGAGGAGAGUGGAAUUCCACGUGUAGCGGUGAAAUGCGUAGAGAUGUGGAGGAACACCAGUGGCGAAGGCGACUCUCUGGUCUGUAACUGACGCUGAGGAGCGAAAGCGUGGGGAGCGAACAGGAUUAGAUACCCCGGUAGUCCCUGUCUCUUAUAA